rnacentral:rRNA from 1 species
GACGAACGCUGGCGGCGUGCCUAAUACAUGCAAGUUGAGCGAUGAAGAUUGGUGCUUGCACCAAUUUGAAGAGCAGCGAACGGGUGAGUAACGCGUGGGGAAUCUGCCUUUGAGCGGGGGACAACAUUUGGAAACGAAUGCUAAUACCGCAUAACAACUUUAAACAUAAGUUUUAAGUUUGAAAGAUGCAAUUGCAUCACUCAAAGAUGAUCCCGCGUUGUAUUAGCUAGUUGGUGAGGUAAAGGCUCACCAAGGCGAUGAUACAUAGCCGACCUGAGAGGGUGAUCGGCUACAUUGGGACUGAGACAAGGCCCCAACUCCUACGGGAGGCAGCAGUAGGGAAUCUUCGGCAAUGGACGAAAGUCUGACCGAGCACAGCCGCGGGAGUGAAGAAGGGUUUCGGAUCGUAAAACUCUGUUGGUAGAGAAGAACGUUGGUGAGAGUGGAAAGCUCAUCAAGUGACGGUAACUACCCAGAAAGGGACGGCUAACUACGUG